UCUUCCACCAAUAUUGCCCACUAAACCAUGUCCCAAACCAUUAGCCCUGAUCCAGGGAUGUGCUAUGCCUCUACCUGAGUUGAGCAUGGGAUGAGAAGAUAAAGGUGAGAUCCUCUGCACAUACCUAGCAGCAAGGAGGCCUGAGGUUAAUGCAGUGCAGGAAAGAGUUCACAUAGGCACUGAUCAACGUGGUAUAAAAUACUUGCAGAUGUUGCCUCCCCCAGAUUACUUUACUCUGAGAACUCACACUAGAACAUUAUAUAUUUUUUUUUACUAAUUAAGGGGGAGCUGCCCCCAACAUCUCCAAUAGUGCGAAGACCCAGAGGUACUGCUGAUGUUGGGUCACCCCUUCUCCAUGUCUCCCAGCCAUCCUCGCUGCUGGUGGAUAGGAGCUGAUGGAGUGCAAUGAAGCCACCAGCACCCUCCACUGCUGCAGGGGACCUGCUGGGGAGAGUGACGUGUCUGGACUUAUCCUUGUCCCAAGCAAUAGAGCCAUCCCAUGUGGAGAACAACCUCAGGGGCAUGAUCCUGCACCCAUGGAGAAUGCAAGGACAAAGAGGUUUUGGAUCUCUUAGCACCACCCUAGGAAGUGCUGAGAGCUGCUUUUGUGGCCUGCAGUGCACAAGGAGUUGUGGAAGAAGAUCUGCAUUCCUCCUGGACCCAGCAUUUAUUGGGUGAGCAAAGUGG